CACACUCGGCACAGCAGCGCGCACGCUCUGGACUGGAAGGACUCUGCUGUGCAGUCUGAUCAUGUGACGGGCCGCGAGCCCAGGCAAAGCAGAGCGAGACAGUUGUCGGAGACCGAAACGCCAGCUUCAUUGAAAAGCUCCGUUAUUGAGAGCAAGAGACAGGAGAGAUAGACAUUUUCGGUGCACAGACACAGAUAACACAUACCGCAAGCGCUUCUGAACUUCGGGGAAAAGGGACAUUUAAACGGCCUUAAGACAUUCGUUACGAAGAAGGACAAGACAGAUUUAUUAAAAAAAUUAAAGAUUCAAGAACAGUGGGGCACACGGGAGUUUAUUCUUCAUUCUGAGCAACUUGUGGAAUUAUAAGGGCAUCGUUCAAAAGAAGAAACUACCUCUCACCCUCUUUUCCCGUUUUCUUUUUUUUCUCUGUUUUAUUUAUUUUUUUGUAUCUUCCUUUGCAGCAAGUGAGAGGAGAAGGAACACAAUCGCAGCACUGUGCAUAAAGAAAGUGAUCGCGGCACCGCGAGGCAGAAGGGCUUGCUGCGUUAGCUAGCCAGAGGGGACAGGACAGAGGGUGGAAUAGACACAUCGCGCGCCUCUCGUACGAGCCUGUAUUUUAUAUCGUGUGUUUAUUUAUACGUUUUUAGUGUUGUUUUUUUUUUUUUUUUGCUCCUCGAUUUUGUCAGGGGUGCGUGAUUUUUUUUUUUUUUUUGGAAUAUGGUUGGGGAAAUGGAAACGAAGGAGAAACCGAAGCCGACCCCAGACUAUCUCAUGCAGCUUAUGAACGACAAGAAACUGAUGAGCAGUCUGCCCAACUUCUGCGGGAUUUUCAACCACCUCGAGCGACUGCUGGACGAAGAGAUCAGCCGGGUGCGGAAGGACAUGUACAACGACACGCUGAACGGCAGCGCGGAGAGGAGGGCCUCGGAGCUCCCGGACGCCGUCGGGCCCGUCGUGCAGCUGCAGGAGAAGCUCUACGUGCCCGUCAAAGAGUACCCCGACUUCAACUUCGUGGGCAGGAUCCUGGGACCGCGGGGCCUGACGGCGAAGCAGCUGGAGGCGGAGACGGGCUGCAAAAUCAUGGUUCGAGGGAAGGGAUCCAUGAGAGACAAGAAGAAGGAGGAGCAGAACCGAGGGAAGCCGAACUGGGAGCACCUGAACGAGGACCUGCACGUGCUCAUCACCGUGGAGGACGCUCAGAACAGAGCAGAGAUCAAGCUCAAACGGGCCGUGGAGGAGGUCAAGAAGCUGCUGGUGCCUGCAGCGGAAGGAGAGGACAGCCUGAAGAAGAUGCAGCUUAUGGAGCUGGCCAUCCUCAACGGCACGUACCGGGACGCCAACAUCAAGUCACCCGCCCUCGCCUUCUCCCUCGCAGCGAGCGCCCAGGCCCCCCGAAUCAUAACAGGCCCCGCCCCGGUGCUGCCCCCCGCCGCCCUGCGCACCCCCACCCCCGCCGGCCCCACCAUCAUGCCUCUGAUCCGACAGAUCCAAACCGUCAUGCCCAACGGGACGCCCCACCCCACCGCCACCCUAGUGCCCCCCGGGCCCGAAUCGGGCCUCAUCUACGCGCCCUACGAGUACCCCUACACGCUGGCCCCCGCCACCUCCAUCCUGGAGUACCCCAUCGACUCCAGCGGGGUGUUAGGUGUGGCUUUCCCCAUGAAAGGCUAAAAGCGUUCAAGAACGGUCUUACUGAGAACCUCAUCCGAGCGUUAACGCAGUGCUUUGUCUCACGGCUGCCUUGAGUAAAUAAACAAACGAAAAAGAAAAAAAAAAAAAAACACACGCGCUUGGCCUAGCAGUCAGUCAGACAGCCUCCUUACGCUGCCGGCGCUUACAGUGGCAGUGCCCACCCGGGAGACGCUGGUCUUUUUACGCCAACCCCCCAGUCACUGUGCGCUUGCAAUGCGUACACCCCCCCCCCCCCCCCCCCCCCCGAGACUGUUUCACUGACUGCUACGUUCUGGGAAACCCCAUAUAAUAUUUGUCUCGCUUUACUAAUCACAUAAUUCAUUGCGAUUUUUUUCUACUACUUAUUGUUUAUUAAAAAAAAAAAUAUAUAUAUGAAUAUAUAUAUAUAUAUAUAUAUAUAUUUAAAAAAUCUCAGAUUUUACUACUGCGGACGUGCCUGAAGCUCUCUCUAGCUCUCUCUCUCUCUCUCUCUCGUGUCUGAGCCUGCUCCAGAGAGCGUGAUCAGUAUUAUAUUUAACGCGCCGGCUGUCCCUGCGGCAGACUGACUUACGUGACUAGUAAAGCCAGCGCGCGCUCGUGUGUGUGACGCCAGCGGUACUGUACGGAGGGGUCCCGCCACUGCGGACCCACCUGGUUAAUGGCGGCUCCUUAGAGGCGACGGCAGCCAUCUUAGAAAUGACUAUUAGACAUACUGUUUUUUUUUUUUUUGUUUUUUUUAUUGUUUUUUUUUUUAAGAAAACCUUCAAUUGUGCCUUAACUUGUAUUUUGUUUUUCUUUUCUUAUUUGCAUAAUUUGUUAGAUGUGUUUGGUCAUAUAUAUAUAUAUAUAUAUAUAUAUAUAUACAUAUAUACAUAUAUAUGUAUAUAUAUACACACAGAUAUACUGUACAAGAUACCUGCUGUUGUUGUGAAGAUUUGUGUAGAAUGCUCUAACUUUGUUUUGGUAAUGUUGCAAUUUGAGCAGGUGCAGUGGCCACUAAGGUUCGAAGGCAUGAUUUGCGGGUUCAUCCUUACCAAAGGAUAGUGACCGCAGACAGAGCCGCCACCGGCAACUAACCUAUGACCCUCUGACCUCUGAACUCUUCACCCAAUGAUGACCUGACCAUUGCCUGCCUGCUGAUCAGUUCACUGGUAAAAGCAAAAGAGAAAAGAAGGAAGGCCUUCGCUUGUUGUCUGUCUCGUUCGCGGUGAGCCAAGGGGUCGAGGUUUUCACCUAACAAAUCCACACAGCGAGACCUGACAGUGCCGCCGCCCCCCCCCACCCCCCACACACACACACACGGCUCUACCACCUCCGGCUUGCCCCCACCGUGAUUCCAGACCUGCACUGAAAAGUUGAAAAAGCAAUAAGGUCUGAUUCGCCACCCGACCAUGCCACGACCCAGCCAAGGCCACGCCCCCUCCCCUUACCAAUCACCAAUCACACCAAGCCACUCUGGCUCCGCCCCCCCCCCUCCCCUUUCUCCACCGCUCUGUGAGGAAGAAGGAGGAAGAGGAGGAACAUGUGAAAAGCAAUGCGGCGGGAUAGCAGUCGGCAGCCGUCUCCCGCCAUUGGCUGCCACGGUAACAGCGUCGCCAGGAGACCUCUGAUCAUGGUAAACGAAUCGGUCCUGAAUGUAUUCUGUAGUGAUGAGCUCUCAUGCAUGAACCUUGCAGUCUUUUGUUCCAUCUGUGGCGAAAGAUAAUCCACUUUAUCUUUUUUUUUUUUAAAUUUUUUAAAGAAUUUGUCAUUAGAAUUUUAAAAAUGCAUAUUAUUAAAAUCAGCAAUCUAGACAGGGGAAUCAAAAAAAACAUUUCUGGGGUUCUUCAAUUAUCUGAAACCUAGUGGUGAUUAGAAUGGGGUUGGGCUUGGGUGAAGAGGGCUGGGUAGAGAAUAGCCAGGUAGGAAGGGGCGGAGUAAAGAUGUAGUGGGCGGGGCUGGUUUGGGGGGGAGGGGCUUAGGACACUGAGUGACAGCAAAGGUACAUGCAUCAUGAGUCCCAUUACUCAGCAACUAUUUUUUAAAGACCACUUCCUUGUAAAGACAUUUCUUUAAGGAUGUAAAAGCCAUGCCUGCCUAUCUGCUGUACACGUGUAUUGAAAUUGUACAUAAGUGUAUAUACAAAACAAACAAACGAAAAAAAAAAAAAAAAACACUAACAUAAAAAAGGUAAAUACUUUUACUACAAAAGGGUGCUGGUGAAGAGAAAAUAUAUUUUUCCAAAAUUUAGUAUUUUAUACUUUCAAGUGUGGUGAAGAAGACGCCGAACAAAGAAACCCUUUAUUUCGUGAAAACAAACCGUUUUCGUUCCGUGGAAAGAGAGGUAUUAAAGACCAAAACAGCCUUUUUCUGUUUUCCCUUUUCCCUUUUUUUUUUCUUUUCUUUUUUUUGUUAAGCAUUUAAAAAUGAAAAGGAAAUGAAAGUGCCUUAUUUUCCUCACGGUCAUCAAAUGUGAAUGUCUCAUCAGUCCGUUCUUACUGCAUACCAGGGCCAUGUACACGCUGUCUCUGGCCCUCUCCGUGUGAAGCAAUGAGAAUGAGCCUCCUCAGGCUCCAGCCUGACUCAGUCUUGCUGUUGCUGUUUCCGAAUAAAUUAGAUGCCUGUUUCUGGAAGCCCAGCGCGCCAGUGGACCACUGACACCCCAGUAAAAGGGAAGACUGACAGUCAGAGUGUUGUUUUUGAUCCAGAGAACCACUGACACUUCCAGGCUUGUAUAGACCGAGGACGCAGUGCCACUGGCACCCAAAGGAAUCUGUCCUCAAAGUCCCAGGCCACCACUGACACCCAAUUUGAAUCUUUAUUAUCAAAGCCAGGUCACCACUGACACACCAUUAAAGUCUAUAUUAUCCAAUCCAAUCGGACCAUUAAAGUCUAUAUUAUCCAAUCCAAUCGGAUCGGAUUUGGAUUUGGACCAUUAAAGUCUAUAUUAUGUUGCCUUGGGCAGCACUGACACUCAAUUUGAGUCUGUAUCAUCAGGCCCAGGCCACCACUGACCCUCUAUUAAAGUCUAUGUUAUAAUGCCUUGGGCAGCACUGACACUACAUUUGUGACACUAUAUUAUAACUCUAUAUAUAUAUAUUACCAGUGAGACCAGAUCUUGAUUUGCAAGGUCUCGGACAGGAAUUUUUUAAGAAGCACGUCUGUUCCCCAGCCACUGUAGCGACACCGUUGGGGUUUUUUUUUUUUUUGCGUUUUGCAAGAGCGGCGUAGCGCGAUCCCGCCAGACCGGCGACGACAUGGAGGCGCUGGGCGUGGAGCAGGGUCGCGGCUCAGAACAGCCUACAGGCCUGGAGCAGCCUAGAGGUCUGGAGCAGCCUCGCUUAGAGAACAGCCUAGAGGCCCAGAACAGCCUUGCGUAGAGAACAGCCUAGAGGCCCAGAACAGCCUAGAGGUCCUGAACAGCCUCGCGUAGAGAACAGCCGGACUGCCGAGCCGUCCCAGCCGCGGUGCAGGGCCAGGGAGCGGCUUCACUGAGCAGCCCUGGGGGUGUUAGACACCGCGGGCGUGCGCUCACACUCACACACACACACACACACACACACACACUCACACACACACGAUUAACAGGACUGAUAUUUCACCACCGACAACUACAACAACAACAACCACUGACACUGUCGGCGGUGAAAUGUCACUCCAGUUAAUCGUGUGUGUGAGUGCACAGCCGAGAUUGUCGGUGGGGGAAAGGGAACAUAAACAUCGGGUUCAACUUUAACACCAGUGUCUGGAGCCUGGGACCCUGCACCUCCACAUUUAGGACUACUAGGUACACUCUGUUCCCCCCUUUUACACCCUGGAUUGAGCUCUAUCCUGCCCCCUCUUUAUUUACUAUGCAACACAUCCGUCUCCUCCACCGUAUGUGCUGAGUCUCUGCAUCAUGAACUUGUCUUCCCGUUAGGAGAGAGGUUGUAAUCUUAUGGUUUUUCAUUUAGUUAUGAUUAUGCAGUGCCAUUAUUAUUAUUAUUAUUAUUAUUAUUAUUAUUAUUAUUAUUAUUAUUAUUAUUAUUAUUCUUAUAGUUAUUAUCACAUGAACCGAUAGACAGAAAUGUCAAUGUCUUUGGAUUAAUUAUGAGGAAACUAUUAAGGAGAUUACAAGAUUGCAAGUUUUAUUGGGGGAAAACCUUGAAGUGUCUGGAGAAAAUAUCAAAUGCAAAGACUACAUGGUAUUGGCAAGGUAGAAUAGAUUAAUUUGGAGGUGAGAUUUUUAUAUCCAAUAAGCUUUACUUCUUUACAAUCUCACCCCUGAUUAGCAUUUUGUUAUAAUAUUGUUUUAUUGAAAGAAGCCUUUUUUGACAACAUCAUUUCAGAUUUUUGUUGACGUUAAUGUCAGUGUGUGCAAAGCAGUUGUAUCCUCGUAUGUCUGACAUAUCUCACCCAUAAGUACAGAGUCAUUCUGUUACACCACUCAACUGAUGCUUUGUAUUUACCUGGUCCAACUUAUUGCCUACAAGAAAAUGACAUGUACCUGUAUGUAUUUACAGCAAGUGUUACAAGUUUAUAAUGUAUUUUUCUAUCUUAUUUUAUACGUUAUUGAAAACACUGAAAUUACAUUAUUUCCAAAUUUGAACACAAACAAAGAAGAAAACAAAAUAUAUUCACAAAAAAGAAAAAUAAAUCCAACUCAAGUGCAAAUGUGAAGGUUCUUUUAAAAGGCAUUUGAUUUGCUUUAUGGUACAGACCUGGAACACUCCACAUGGAGCCUUAUCAUCAUGAAUAUUUUACUGAAAUACUUCCUUUGAAUUUUAUUUUUGUUUCGUUUUUUAUUUUUACGUUGCUUGCAUUUUGCGUCUUUUUGUUGUAAAGUGUUCUUAUUAACCGAUAGUAUUAUUUUAAUAAAUAUGACUAUACAAAUGUA